GGCUUACUCCGGUUCCUUUACGCUCAUCAAAGUUAAGCAACAUCAGGCCUGGUCAGUACCAAGAUGUGUGACUGCUUGGGAAUACCAGAUGCUGUAAG